rnacentral:rRNA from 1 species
AGCGAACGCUGGCGGCAGGCCUAACACAUGCAAGUCGAACGAACUCUUCGGAGUUAGUGGCGGACGGGUGAGUAACACGUGGGAACGUGCCUUUUGGUUCGGAAUAACUCAGGGAAACUUGUGCUAAUACCGAAUGUGCCCUUCGGGGGAAAGAUUUAUCGCCAUUAGGGCGGCCCGCGUCUGAUUAGCUGGUUGGUGGGGUAACGGGCCACCAAGGCGACGAUCAGGAGCUGGUCUGAGAGGAUGACCAGCCACACGGGGACUGGGACACGGCCGAGACUCCUACGGGAGGCAGCAGUGGGGAAUAUGGGACAAUGGGCGAAAGACUGAGGCAGCAAGGCCGCGUGGGUGAGGAAGGGGUGAGGAUUGUAAAGCCAUUUGGGCGGGGACGAGGGUGACGGUACCCGCAGAAGAAGCCCCGGCUAACUCCGUG